UACAGGGGGGGCAAGCGUUGUUCGGAAUUACUGGGCGUAAAGGGUUCGUAGGUGGCCACUUAAGUCAGACGUGAAAUCCCUCAGCUUAACUGGGGAACUGCGUCUGAUACUGGGUGGCUUGAGUGCAGGAGAGGGAUGCGGAAUUCCAGGUGUAGCGGUGAAAUGCGUAGAUAUCUGGAGGAACACCGGUGGCGAAGGCGGCAUCCUGGACUGUAACUGACACUGAGGAACGAAAGCGUGGGGAGCGAACAGG
rnacentral:rRNA from 1 species